rnacentral:rRNA from 1 species
AACGAACGCUGGCGGCAUGCCUAACACCUGCAAGUCGAACGAGACCUUCGGGUCUAGUGGCGCACGGGUGCGUAACGCGUGGGAACCUGCCCUUAGGUUCGGAAUAACUCCCCGAAAGGGGUGCUAAUACCGGAUAAUGUCUUCGGACCAAAGAUUUAUCGCCCUUGGAUGGGCCCGCGUUGGAUUAGCUAGUUGGUAGGGUAAAAGCCUACCAAGGCGACGAUCCCUAGCUGCUCUGAGAGGAUGAUCAGCCACACUGGGACUGAGACACGGCCCAGACUCCUACGGGAGGCAGCAGUGGGGAAUAUUGGACAAUGGGCGAAAGCCUGAUCCAGCAAUGCCGCGUGAGUGAUGAAGGCCUUAGGGUUGUAAAGCUCUUUUACCCGGGAUGAUAAUGACAGUACCGGGAGAAUAAGCACCGGCUAACUCCGUG